rnacentral:rRNA from 1 species
ACGAACGCUGGCGGCGUGCUUAACACAUGCAAGUCGAACGGAAAGGCCCUGCUUUUGUGGUGUGCUCGAGUGGCGAACGGGUGAGUAACACGUGAGUUACCUGCCCUUGACUUUGGGAUAACUUCAGGAAACUGGGGCUAAUACCGGAUAGGAGCUCCUGCUGCAUGGUGGGGGUUGGAAAGUUUCGGCGGUUGGGGAUGGACUCGCGGCUUAUCAGCUUGUUGGUGGGGUAGUGGCUUACCAAGGCUUUGACGGGUAGCCGGCCUGAGAGGGUGACCGGCGACAUUGGGACUGAGAUACGGCCCAGACUCCUACGGGAGGCAGCAGUGGGGAAUAUUGCACAAUGGGCGGAAGCCUGAUGCAGCAACGCCGCGUGCGGGAUGACGGCCUUCGGGUUGUAAACCGCUUUCGCCUGUGACGAAGCGUGAGUGACGGUAAUGGGUAAAGAAGCACCGGCCAACUACGUG